UGAGAGGGUGAUCGGCCACAUUGGGACUGAGACACGGCCCAAACUCCUACGGGAGGCAGCAGUAGGGAAUCUUCGGCAAUGGACGAAAGUCUGACCGAGCAACGCCGCGUGAGUGAAGAAGGUUUUCGGAUCGUAAAACUCUGUUGUUAGAGAAGAACAAGGAUGAGAGUAACUGUUCAUCCCUUGACGGUAUCUAACCAGAAAGCCACGGCUAACUACGUGCCAGCAGCCGCGGUAAUACGUAGGUGGCAAGCGUUGUCCGGAUUUAUUGGGCGUAAAGCGAGCGCAGGCGGUUUCUUAAGUCUGAUGUGAAAGCCCCCGGCUCAACCGGGGAGGGUCAUUGGAAACUGGGAGACUUGAGUGCAGAAGAGGAGAGUGGAAUUCCAUGUGUAGCGGUGAAAUGCGUAGAUAUAUGGAGGAACACCAGUGGCGAAGGCGGCUCUCUGGUCUGUAACUGACGCUGAGGCUCGAAAGCGUGGGGAGCAAACAGGAUUAGAUACCCUGGUAGUCCACGCCGUAAACGAUGAGUGCUAAGUGUUGGAGGGUUUCCGCCCUUCAGUGCUGC
rnacentral:rRNA from 1 species